CGAACAUUUUUUUAUUAUUUUUUUUACGUACAACACAUUACUCUUUUUUUUUUGUUUAUUCAUUUUCGUACUUUUUCAGUAUUUUAGGAAUCUAUUUUUUUCCAUUAUUAUCUACUUAAUAUUGAAAAUUAUGAAUUAAAAAAAAAAAUCGGUCUCAGUCAUGUAUAGACACCCAUAGGAAACGGUAGUAAUCCGUAGUAACCCGUAAUAAUCCAUAGAUAUAUUCUUGAAAUCCUAACUUCUCCUUUUAACCCUAGCCGCCAGACGCUCUUAGUAACCCAUAGACAUCAAAUCGAAAAAUCUUGGAUCCAUCCCAGAAAACCUAAGAUCCACCCACCAAACCCUAAAUUCGUGACGCCAAAGACCACCCACCCCCAUCCACGCCUCUAAGGAUACCACCCACCCCACCCACGCCGCCAUCACCUACCCCAGCAGCAUCACCGCACCACCAACACCAUUCUCGAACUCCGAGCGCCGCCGCUGGGCCAGCGUCACCCUCGAACUCCGUUAUUGCCAUAACCACCCCCACCAUAACCCACCACCACUCAUCUAUUUGGACUCAUCUCUUCCCAAAAACGAUGCCGCCUCCGCUACGCACUCCAUCGCUGCUUCAGAUCCACCACCGUCACCAUAGAUCCGACGCGCCACCCCUACCCACUCCGUCGGCGCCUUCAGAUCCAUCGUCACAAUAGAUUCACCGUAGCCGCCGCCUUAAGAUUCAAUUAUGCCCACUCCGCCGCCGCCUUCUCGUUCGCCGCCACCCCUGUUUUCUUCUCCAAGCAUAUGGCGCAACUGAUUCGUGAGCCCAAACAAAAAACUAGUCCAGAGCGAUAGAGAGAGGGAGAGAAAAAGAGAAAAAAAAAAGAGAGAAAGAAAGCGAUGGAGAGAGAGGGAGAGAAAAAGAGAGAAAGAAAGAGACGAGAGAUGGAGGGGAGAGAGAGAAAGAAUGAGGUCAGAAGAAAUAGAAAUAAAUUUAAUUCAAAAUACGUGAAUGAAUAUGUAGAUUAAAAUAUUUAGGUUAUAAGGGUAAUGUAGGGAUAAAAAUAAUUAAUGAUGUACGUCACAUAUUGUUAAAUUAAUUAAGGAUUUAAUUAAAAUAUUGGAUUUGAACUUGUUAUUUAGUUCAAAUUAAGUUUCAUUUGAGGGGCUCCUAGCAUAUUACCCCUUUACAAAUUGGCGUAAACUCUCAAUAGCAGUGCUUUCACCUAUGGGUAUGUUGUUAUCCAGUAAAUCGGCAGGAACUCCAUAAGCAAAUAUUCUAUAUGCAACAAUUACUUUUUGAAGACUUGAUAAACCAGGGACCCCUGCUGCAUUAUUUAUUUGGAUGAAAUAGUGAUCGUAUGCUUCGACAUUGGAAAUAAUUAUACAAAAUAGAGGUUUGUACAUACGAAACCUUCUCCUGAAAUAAACAUCAUGAUAUACAAGAUUAUUAGCGAAAUAAUCACGAUAAAGUCUAUUAUGACCUUCAACGCUGUUGCGAUGAAUAACCCUUCUACCCGGAACUGAACUACGACGACGCUUGCGUUGUCUUUCUUUCUCAACUCCUCCUCUUCCAUUGCUUCUAAGAGCAUUUCAAGAUCAUCUGAAUCAGAGUCGGGUAAGAAAGCAUAUAGAACGGCAGAAUCACGAUGCAUCAUGAAAUAAAUAGAGAAA
rnacentral:lncRNA from 1 species